UUCCAGCUUGCCACGAGCCGCGGUAAUACGUAGGGAGCAAGCGUUGUCCGGAUUUACUGGGUGUAAAGGGUGCGUAGGCGGCUUUUUAAGUCGGGCGUGAAAGCUGUGGGCUUAACCCACAAAUUGCGUUCGAAACUGGAAGGCUUGAGUGAAGUAGAGGUAGGCGGAAUUCCCGGUGUAGCGGUGAAAUGCGUAGAGAUCGGGAGGAACACCAGUGGCGAAGGCGGCCUACUGGGCUUUAACUGACGCUGAGGCACGAAAGCAUGGGUAGCAAACAGGAUUAGAUACCCUGGUAGUCCAUGCCGUAAACGAUGAUUACUAGGUGUGGGGGGUCUGACCCCUUCCGUGCCGGAGUUAACACAAUAAGUAAUCCACCUGGGGAGUACGGCCGCAAGGUUGAAACUCAAAGGAAUUGACGGGGGCCCGCACAAGCAGUGGAGUAUGUGGUUUAAUUCGAAGCAACGCGAAGAACCUUACCAGGUCUUGACAUCCAACUAACGAGGCAGAGAUGCAUUAGGUGCCCUUCGGGGAAAGUUGAGACAGGUGGUGCAUGGUUGUCGUCAGCUCGUGUCGUGAGAUGUUGGGUUAAGUCCCGCAACGAGCGCAACCCUUGUGAUUAGUUGCUACGCAAGAGCACUCUAAUCAGACUGCCGUUGACAAAACGGAGGAAGGUGGGGACGACGUCAAAUCAUCAUGCCCCUUAUGACCUGGGCUACACACGUACUACAAUGGUCGCUAACAGAGGGAAGCCAAGCCGCGAGGUGGAGCAAACCCCAAAGCGAUCUCAGUUCGGAUUGUAGGCUGCACCCGCCUACAUGAAGUUGGAAUUGCUAGUAUCGCGGAUCAGCAUGCCGCGGUG
rnacentral:rRNA from 1 species